rnacentral:rRNA from 1 species
ACGCACGCUGGCGGCGUGCUUAACACAUGCAAGUCGAACGGAAAGGCCCUGCUUUUGUGGGGUGCUCGAGUGGCGAACGGGUGAGUAACACGUGAGUAACCUGCCCUUGACUUUGGGAUAACUUCAGGAAACUGGGGCUAAUACCGGAUAGGAGCUCCUGCUGCAUGGUGGGGGUUGGAAAGUUUCGGCGGUUGGGGAUGGACUCGCGGCUUAUCAGCUUGUUGGUGGGGUAGUGGCUUACCAAGGCUUUGACGGGUAGCCGGCCUGAGAGGGUGACCGGCCACAUUGGGACUGAGAUACGGCCCAGACUCCUACGGGAGGCAGCAGUGGGGAAUAUUGCACAAUGGGUGGAAGCCUGAUGCAGCAACGCCGCGUGCGGGAUGACGGCCUUCGGGUUGUAAACCGCUUUCGCCUGUGACGAAGCGUGAGUGACGGUAAUGGGUAAAGAAGCACCGGCUAACUACGUG